rnacentral:lncRNA from 1 species
GAAGGAACCAUUCAGGAGGGGAGUGGAGGACGGGACUGAAAUCCUCACCAUCCCCGGAGAGGACAGCAGCAUUCAUGAGCCCUGUCCACUUACCUGAGCAGCACCUAAGAGGCUGAGGCAUGAGGAUCCCCAUGAGUUGGAGGUCAGUCUGGACUACAGAGUGAGUUUAAGAUCAGCCUGAACUACAUAACAAGAGUCUGUCUCCAAAAAUCAAACAAAGAUGAACUUUCUGCCAUGAU